UCCACGCCGUAAACGAUGGAUACUAGGUGUAGGGGGCGAUAGCCUUCUGUGCCGCAGCUAACGCAAUAAGUAUCCCGCCUGGGGAGUACGAUCGCAAGGUUGAAACUCAAAGGAAUUGACGGGGGCCCGCACAAGCAGCGGAGCAUGUGGUUUAAUUCGAAGCAACGCGAAGAACCUUACCAAGGCUUGACAUCCCUUGACGUGCAUAGAAAUAUGUACUCCCUUCGGGGCAAGGAGACAGGUGGUGCAUGGUUGUCGUCAGCUCGUGUCGUGAGAUGUUGGGUUAAGUCCCGCAACGAGCGCAACCCUUAUUGCUAGUUGC
rnacentral:rRNA from 1 species